CAGCACCUCAAGUGGUCAGGAUGAUUAUUGGGCCUAAAGCAUCCGUAGCCUGCUUUGUUAGUUUUCGGUUAAAUCCAUACGCUCAACGUAUGGGCUGCCGGGAAUACUGCAAAGCUAGGGAGUGGGAGAGGUAGACGGUACUCGGUAGGAAGGGGUAAAAUCCUUUGAUCUAUUGAUGAUCACCUGUGGCGAAGGCGGUCUACCAGAACACGUCCGACGGUGAGGGAUGAAAGCUAGGGUAGCAAACAGGAUUAGAUACCCUGGUAGUCC
rnacentral:rRNA from 1 species